rnacentral:rRNA from 1 species
AAUUGUUCCUCGUUAAGGGAUUUAAAUUGUACUCAUUCCAAUUACAAGACCCAAAAGAGCCCUGUAUCAGUAUUUAUUGUCACUACCUCCCCGUGUCGGGAUUGGGUAAUUUGCGCGCCUGCUGCCUUCCUUGGAUGUGGUAGCCGUUUCUCAGGCUCCCUCUCCGGAAUAGAACCCUAAUUCCCCGUUACCCGUUGAAACCAUGGUAGGCCACUAUCCUACCAUCGAAAGUUGAUAGGGCAGAAAUUUGAAUGAACCAUCGCCGGCACAAGGCCAUGCGAUUCGUUAAGUUAUCAUGAAUCACCAAGGAGCCCCGAAGGGCAUUGGUUUUUUAUCUAAUAAAUACACCCCUUCCGAAGUCGAGGUUUUUAGCAUGUAUUAGCUCUAGAAUUACCACGGUUAUCCAAGUAGUAAGGUACUAUCAAAUAAACGAUAACUGAUUUAAUGAGCCAUUCGCAGUUUCACUGUAUAGAUUGCUUAUACUUAGACAUGCAUGGCUUAAUCUUUGAGACAAGCAUAUGACUA